AAAAGCUGGGAAACUAGCAGCUAAUAUGUGAUUGAGGAAAAGGAUAGGUUGAAUUGAGACCCAAAGUCUGGGGUUCUGCACUUUUGUGCUGGGGCUUCUAUUGGAGGAAUCAGGACAGCCUGAUUUUUUUAAAAUUUCAUAUAUUUGUUGUAAGACCAGAAAGGGCAGACUCUUGACUUGUUAGGAGUAUGGGUGGGGAAACUGAGCCAAGGUUUCUUCCACCUAGAUAGCAACCCUUAAAAGGGGAUGUAGAAACACAGUUCUGUUGUGAAAGGGGAGGAAACCUGAGAAUGGAAACUGCACCAAGGCUAAAACAUUAUGAGUAAACAGAAAUAAGAUGUUAGCGCUUGAGUGCCCAGACCAAAUGUCCCCUUCACGUGAAAUGCUAUCGCAACUGGUGCACACAAGUCGAUAUGCAAAUUGCUCAUCAUUUGCUUAUGUUCUUUUCUUUCUCUCCAUCAUCUGUCCUUUAUACCACAUAGCCUUGAAACUUAAAUAUGUCACAUAAAUCAGUGUUUAAAAUUAAAACUGGUUGUUAGAAAACCCCCCAACAAUUUGCUGCCCCUCAAUGGCACCCAUAAUAUGAUAUUCAAAAUAGGGCUGCAUGAUUACUGACAAGAUAUAGUCUGCAAGACCAUGUCAUACCUGUCUUAUACUAACUACAUUGGCUGCCACUAGAAUUCUGAGCCCAAUUUAAAGUGCUUGUAUUUACAUAGAAAGCCCUAGGUGCCGGGUACCUGAAAGAUCGUCUGCUCCUGUAUGUUCCUUCCUGCCUGUUAAGAUCGAGUGAGGAGGCGAAGGAGGUGCUGGCUAGAAGAAAGACCUUGGUGCUUAUACUCCACCUCUGGAAUAGAUAUUCAACAGGAGCCACCACAAAAGGAUCCCAUCCCAUAUUAUAUAUCUGAAAAGAAGAACGUUCGGAAUAAUCAGGCAUGGGAUUUUGUGUAGAAAACUGGAUUUUGCAGAAAAUUUGACUCAAGUUGGUUACCUUCAGGUGUAAUGGGUCUUUAGUCCACUGGUUGCCUUUUUUUUCUUCCAUCAGUAAAGAUGUCUUCAAUCCUAGAGGGACACAUUAACAUAAUCCAUGUUUAUUUCACAUUGCAUCACCAAGUGCAUAGUCUGUUUGGCAUAGCAAUGCAUAAAAGCUCAUUUAUGACUUCUAAAAUGUACAUCCAAUGUGCAGUGAUACUUUUGGUUGCAUGUUAAAAGUUUUCCACUCUUCUUAUAUGUGUUUAUAUUGAAAAUUAAAUUUGAGGAAACUCUCA